rnacentral:lncRNA from 1 species
GAUGCUGUUUUUGGUUAUCUCCCAUUUGUUUUGCUUAAUUAGUAUAUAUCCUAUCCAGACAUAUAUCUGUAUAUAUAGAGAAAAAUGUGGUAAUAAGACAAAAGAGAGAAUUGAUAAAAAAGUGUAUGAAAAGAAAAAAAAAUUGUAGAAAUUUAGGACCAGUGAUCGAGAGACUUAAUUUUGGAAUUGAAAUGAGAGUAGGAGGUCCAUUAUUCAGGGAAGUUGGGACUAGUGUAAAAGAGAAUUAAUUUUGAAAUUGAAAUGAGAGUAGAUGUCCAUUAAUCAAAAUAUUAACUUGAAAAAUCUGGCAUUUUAUUUGCCAAAUUAAUGGAAGUAUUAACUUGAAAAAUCUGGUAAUUCACUAUUAUUAUCAUCAUGUUGGAUGAAAA